rnacentral:tRNA from 1 species
UCCCUGAUGGUCCAGUGGUUAAGACUCUACCUUGCAAUGCAAGGGACCCAGGCUCGAUCCCUGGUCAGGGAA